UAAGACAUAGGUGGCGAACGUUAUCCGGAAUUAUUGGGCGUAAAGGAUGCGUAGAUGGCAUGACAAGUUAUCAGUGGGAAAUCGGGGCCCAACCCCGUGGAAGCUGAUAAUACUAUUAUGCUUGAGUACAGGAGGGGUUAACGGAACUCCAUGUGGAGCGGUAAAAUGUGACGAUAUAUGGAAGAACACCAAUAAGGCGAAGGCAGUUAACUAUUCUGCUACUGACAUUGAGGCAUGAAAGCGUGGGGAGCAAAACGGAUUAGAUACCCGUGUAGUCCACGCCCUAAACGAUGAGUGCUAGAUAUUGGGAACUUGAUUUCUCAGUGUCGCUAGUUAACACGGUAAGCACUCCGCCUGGGUAGUACGAUCGCAAGGUUG
rnacentral:rRNA from 1 species